rnacentral:rRNA from 1 species
AGCUCUGUAAGCGUAUACCAAAGUUGUUGCAGUUAAAACGCUCGUAGUCGGACAUUGGCAAUUCCGGGAGUGUGCGCGUCGUGUGCGCACUCUGCGGGGAUUGCUUUAGUGGAUCUGUGCAGGGAUGAAGCAUUUUAAUUAAUGAACGUUCAGCGCAACCACAAUUUACUGUGAGAAAAUCAGAGUGCUCAAAGCAGGCAUUUGCCGUGAAUGUAUUAGCAUGGAAUAAUAGAAUAGGACUUGUUUCUAUUUUGUUGGUUUGUUGGGAAUGAGUAAUGAUUAAGAGGGACAGUUGGGGGCAUUUGUAUUACGGCGCUAGAGGUGAAAUUCUUAGAUUGCCGUAAGACAAACAGCUGCGAAAGCGUCUGCCAAGGAUGUUUUCA